rnacentral:rRNA from 1 species
AGUGAACGCUGGCGGUAGGCCUAACACAUGCAAGUCGAACGGCAGCACAGUAAGCGCUUUCUCUUACGGGUGGCGAGUGGCGGACGGGUGAGGCAUACAUCGGAAUCUACUUUUUCGUGGGUGAUAACGGAGGGAAACUUACGCUACUACCGCAUACGUCCUACGGGUUGAAGCAGGAGAUCUUCGGACCUUUCGCGACUCAAUUAGACGAUGUCGGAUUAGCUAGUUGGCGAGGUAAAGGCCCACCAAGGCAACGAUACGUAGCUGGUCUGAGAGGAUGAUCAGCCACACUGGAACUGAGACACGGUCCAGACUCCUACGGGAGGCAGCAGUAGGGAAUAUUGGGCAAUGGGCGAAAGCCUGAUGCAGCAAUACCGCGUGAGUGAAGAAGGUCUUCGGAUCGUAAAACCCUGUUGUUAGGAAAGAAAAGCAGCAUGUGUAUCCACCGACGUUCUGACGGUACCUAAAGAGAAAGCCCCGGCUAACUUCGUG